UUGGAGGGCAAGUCUGGUGCCAGCAGCCGCGGUAAUUCCAGCUCCAAUAGCGUAUAUUAAAGUUGUUGCAGUUAAAAAGCUCGUAGUUGAAUUUCGGGAUCAAUUUAUCGGUCGUGCCUCUGGUAUGCACUGGUAUUAUUGAUUUCUACCUUCUGACGAACCAUGAUGUCAUUAAUUUGGUGUCAUGGGGAAUCAGGACUGUUACUUUGAAAAAAUUAGAGUGUUUAAAGCAAGCACACGCUUGAAUACAUUAGCAUGGAAUAAUGAAAUAGGACGUUUGACCCUAUUUUGUUGGUUUCUAGGAUCGACGUAAUGAUUAAUAGGGAUAGUUGGGGGCAUUAGUAUUCAAUUGUCAGAGGUGAAAUUCUUGGAUUUAUUGAAGACUAACUACUGCGAAAGCAUUUGCCAAGGAUGUUUUCAUUAAUCAAGAACGAAAGUUAGGGGAUCGAAGACGAUCAGAUACCGUCGUAGUCUUAACCAUAAACUAUGCCGACUAGGGAUCGGAUGAUGUUAAUUUUUUAAUGACUCAUUCGGCGCCUUACGGGAAAC
rnacentral:rRNA from 1 species